rnacentral:rRNA from 1 species
UACGUAGGGUGCAAGCGUUAAUCGGAAUUACUGGGCGUAAAGCGUGCGCAGGCGGCUUUGCAAGACAGAUGUGAAAUCCCCGGGCUUAACCUGGGAACUGCAUUUGUGACUGCAUGGCUAGAGUACGGUAGAGGGGGAUGGAAUUCCGCGUGUAGCAGUGAAAUGCGUAGAUAUGCGGAGGAACACCGAUGGCGAAGGCAAUCCCCCUGGACCUGUACUGACGCUCAUGCACGAAAGCGUGGGGAGCGAACGGG